GGACGAACGCUGGCGGCGUGCCUAAUACAUGCAAGUCGAACGGUCUUUCUAUGGAAGCUUGCUCCACUGAGAAGAUAGUGGCGAACGGGUGAGUAACACGUGGGUAACCUGCCCAUAAGGAGGGGGAUAACAUCCGGAAACGGGUGCUAAUACCGCAUAGUUUUCUUGAUCGCAUGAUUGAGAAAGGAAAGACGGCCUUUGUGCUGUCGCUUAUGGAUGGACCCGCGGCGUAUUAGUUAGUUGGUGAGGUAACGGCUCACCAAGACGAUGAUACGUAGCCGACCUGAGAGGGUGAUCGGCCACAUUGGGACUGAGACACGGCCCAAACUCCUACGGGAGGCAGCAGUAGGGAAUCUUCCGCGAUGGACGAAAGUCUGACGGAGCAACGCCGCGUGAGUGAAGGUAAAGGGUUUUCGGAUCGUAAAACUCUGUUGUCAGAGAAGAACAAGUUGGAGAGUAACUGCUCCAGCCUUGACGGUAUCUGACCAGAAAGCCACGGCUAACUACGUGCCAGCCGCUGC
rnacentral:rRNA from 1 species